rnacentral:rRNA from 1 species
AUAGGGCUAGGGGGAGUCACAUCCUACCAAACCCUAUCAAACUCCGAAUGCUUAUACAUGUUUCUAUGCAGUGAGGGUAUGGGUGCUAAGGUCCAUAUCCAAAAGGGAAAGAACCCAGAGCAUCAGCUAAGGUCCCCAAGUGUAUACUAAGUUGAGAAAAUGUGGUGUGAUUGCUUAGACAGCCAGGAUGUUGGCUUGGAAGCAGCCAUUCAUUUAAAGAGUGCG